CCCUUAGAUGUCCUGGCUGCACGCGCGCUACACUGAUGUGUCCAGUAAGCACCUAACCUAUUCCGAGAGGAGCGGGUAACCUUAGCAAAGCACAUCGUGAUGGGGAUAGAUUAUUGCAAUUAUUAGUCUUGAACGAGGAAUUCCUAGUAAGCACAAGUCAUCAGCUUGUGUUGAUUACGUCCCUGCCCUUUGUACACACCGCCCGUCGCUCCUACCGAUUGAAUGUUCCGGUGAGCUCUUCGGACUGCGCGGUCUGCAGUUUCUGCGUUCCGUGCGGAAAGUUGUGCAAACCUUAACAUUUAGAGGAAGGAGAAGUCGUAACA
rnacentral:rRNA from 1 species